CUACGGGGGGCUGCAGUCGAGAAUCUUCCGCAAUGGGCGCAAGCCUGACGGAGCAAUGCCGCGUGCAGGAUGACGGCCUUUGGGUUGUAAACUGCUGUCACAGGGGAUGAAUUUUGACAGUACCCUGAGAGGAAGCCACGGCUAACUACGUGCCAGCAGCCGCGGUAAUACGUAGGUGGCGAGCGUUGUUCGGAUUUAUUGGGCGUAAAGGGUUCGUAGGGGGUUAUCUAAGUUUGAUGUGAAAUCCCGAGGCUCAACCUCGGAACUGCAUUGAAAACUGGGUAACUUGAGGACUGUAGAGGAGAGUGGAAUUCCUGGAGUAGCGGUGGAAUGCGUAGAUAUCAGGAAGAACAUCGACAGCGAAGGCAGCUCUCUGGGCAGUAUCUGACCCUGAGGAACGAAAGCGUGGGUAGCGAACAGGAUUAGAUACCCGGGUAGUC
rnacentral:rRNA from 1 species